CCCUUAGAUGUCCUGGGCUGCACGCGCGCUACACUGGAAGUUACGGAUUGAGAUACUACCUUGUCCGAAAUGGUCCGGGUAAUCACCUAAAAGCUUGUCAUAAUUGGAAUGGAUUAUUGUAACUAGUAAUCCUGAACGAGGAAUUCCUAGUAAGUCCCAGUCAACAGCUGGUACUGAUUACGUCCCUGCCCUUUGUACACACCACCCGUCGCUACUACUGAUUGGACGUUUAAGCAAGAUUUUUAAACACUGACAGUGUGUAGUUCACGCUAUACUACAGUGAGAAGAAGAAGAUCGAGCUUACUUGUCUAGAGGAAGUAAAAGUCGUAACA
rnacentral:rRNA from 1 species